GUGUUCACUUUGACAGAACAUAUUUAAAAGUGGAAUGAUACAGAGAAUAUUAGCAUGGCUCCUGCACAUGGAUGACAUACAAAUGUUUUUUUAAAAAAAUUU
rnacentral:snRNA from 1 species